ensembl:lncRNA
UGCAUUGCAAGUUGUUGUCUUGUUAUUCCAACGUACGUGUCCAUUCUAACGAGUUAAACGUGCUGAUUGCAGCCCAACAUGAAGAAUUCGGCUUUACUUUGCAUCAUGAUGACGCGAUGGAACACACAAACACACCAAUUCCCAACGGCGUUAAUGCCUCGCGCACUGGAAAGGGUUGUUUUGUGGUGACGGGUAAUCUGGCCAAAAUGUGAGAGGUUUCCCCCCGAGUGCGGAGCGUGUUAAACAGGCAGCGGCGUCGAGUUAAUCGAAAGUGUUAACCGCCUAGUAGACAGCACCGUGGCCGAUGAGCAGCGGCGUCCGCCCCCGUCGUCCACCGAUGCCUCCGUUUUUUAACCGCCUCCGUCUUCCUGGCAGCUCGCCUCUCCGGUAGCGAGCUGCCAGGCUGGUUCACUCUCAGCAAUGCCUGGUCUGGUUGAAAGAGAAUAGUGGGAGGUAAAUAAAAGAGUUGAAACCUUUCUAUCAGCGUGUGUGUGUGUGUGUGUGUGUGUGUGUGUGUGUGUGUGUGUGAGAGAAGAGAGAAGAGAAGAAGAAAAGGAAACCGCCUCAGCAAAAAAGACAACAACACAAAGUCAUGGGGAAGGACGUGGUGAAAAGGCGUCCAGGGGAAAGCGCCGCAGAGAGUGAGACGUGUGGAGGAGAGAGAUGGUGGAGGAGAGAGAUGGUGGAGGAGAGAGAUGGUGGAGGAGAGAUGGUGGAGGAGAGAGAUGGUGGAGGAGAGAGAUGGUGAAGGAGAGAGAUGGUGGAGGAGAGAGAUGAAGGCAGAAAGAUAAGAGGGGAACGGGGGGGUCAGAAUGUGGGGGAACGCAGGUCUGAAGGGGAUCCGGCUUUGCCAAGUCCCUCCUAGAGAGUCACAACAGGCUGAACCUUAUCUCACCUUCUCCUCGCCCCCCCGUCUCCCCCCCUCCCAACACCUCCAAUUCACUUAGUGGCUUUGGGCACUUUCACAUUUUAAGGAACUUGGAGCGACUUCCCAGAGGAAGGAAACUUCUGACCUUAAGAACUGCCGAGAUCUUUCUGUGUUGGGGGGACGCUAAAGCUGCCCGUUUAAGGGCCCCGUCGCUCGUCUUUCUCUUUGAAUAUUUCAUGAGCUCAUUAGGACACCGGCGCCGCGCCGCCGUUUGCUUUAUACACACUAUAACCUCAGAGUCCGCAGAGCGCCGGGUAGUCUGGGGGACAGUUCUGAGAAUGCAGAGAGCGGAUUAAAGCAGUCGAGGUGUAGG